GGUCUCUUACUGUGGAAACUCAGUCCCUUCACUCUAUUACUCUUCGUCUCGAACUUCGUCAACAUCUUUUCUAAUCAACCAGAACAACCGUGGAUCUGAUGAGAUGAAGAAGAGGAACCCAAUCACAUCUACAAUCAAUCACCAAACGCUAUUAGAUUCGUGAGAAAGGGCAAUGAAAAACUAAUAUAAAUUUCAGGUAAAUAAACAAUUAAAGGCAGAUCGGGGAGAAGAGGAAGAGAUAACGAGAGAGAGAGAGAGAGAGAGAGAGGCUU
rnacentral:misc_RNA from 1 species